rnacentral:rRNA from 1 species
ACGAACCGGACAAACGUUAUUCGGAAUUAUUGGGCUUAAAGGGUGCGUAGGCGGUGCGGUAAGUGCGGUGUGAAAUCCCACGGCUCAACCGUGGAAUUGCGCUGCAUACUGCCGUGCUAGAGGGAGACAGGGGUAAGCGGAACUGAUGGUGGAGCGGUGAAAUGCGUUGAUAUCAUCAGGAACACCAGUGGCGAAAGCGGCUUACUGGGUCUCUUCUGACGCUGAGGUACGAAAGCUAGGGUAGCGAACGGG